UACGUAGGUGGCAAGCGUUGUCCGGAUUUACUGGGCGUAAAGAGCGCGCAGGCGGUCGUUCAAGUCGCGUGUGAAAGCCCCCGGCUCAACUGGGGAGGGUCACUCGAUACUGAUCGACUUGAAGGCAGGAGAGGGAAGCGGAAUUCCCGGUGUAGUGGUGAAAUGCGUAGAUAUCGGGAGGAACACCAGUGGCGAAGGCGGCUUCUGGCCUGUUCUUGACGCUGAGGCGCGAAAGCUAGGGGAGCAAACGGG
rnacentral:rRNA from 1 species